rnacentral:rRNA from 1 species
AGAAUCAACGCUGGCGGCGUGCCUAACACAUGCAAGUCGCACGAGAAAGGGACUUCGGUCCUGAGUACAGUGGCGCACGGGUGAGUAACACGUGAAUAAUCUACCUCCGAGUGGGGAAUAACUGAGAGAAAUCUUAGCUAAUACCGCAUAACACUUACGAGUCAAAGCAGCAAUGCGCUUGGAGAGGAGUUCGCGGCAGAUUAGUUAGUUGGCGGGGUAAUGGCCCACCAAGACGAUGAUCUGUAUCCGGCCUGAGAGGGCGCACGGACACACUGGAACUGAAACACGGUCCAGACUCCUACGGGAGGCAGCAGUGGGGAAUUUUGCGCAAUGGGGGAAACCCUGACGCAGCAACGCCGCGUGGAGGAUGAAAUCCCUUGGGAUGUAAACUCCUUUCGAUAGGGAAGAUAAUGACGUACCUAUAGAAGAAGCCCCGGACUAACGUUCGCGCCAGCAGCCGC